UCAACUACAUAAAAGCUUAAAUGCAUACUAGUUUUCCUAGUCUCCGACACAACUAAAAUUAAAAUCAAAAUCAAUCUCAAGAACAAAAAUCCAAUGGCAGAAUUGACAUGAUUAAGCAAUUGACGAAUUGUACCUGAUUUUGGGAGUUUGUUGAAGUAGAGUAGCCCAAUUAUGCCUCAGGAACAAUAAAAUCAGAUCGUUUUACAGAUGAUCGUACAUGAGUAAUUGUGGAUGAUGAAUUAUGCAAAUUGUAUUGAUCGAGAAGUGGAGAUGAUGAAUUAAGAGAAUAACCUGCUGGUUUCCAGAUUAAAAUGCAACGUGAAUUGUUUGCAGAUCAAUUUGAACGCAGCCUUUGAAUGAAGAAGAAGAAGAUGAAGAAGGAGAAGAAGAAGGCAUGAAGAACAGAGUUUGCAGAUGUAUAUCUAGCGGUUUGCAGAUGAAAGAGUAAUUUAAUUGAGAAAGAAUCUCAUGCUUUAAGUUCUUAAUCCCAGGAAUAUCUGAGUCGGUUUGCAGAUGAAUAUUAUACCGCAUGAAUUUUGAGCAUAUUUGAGAGUAAUUUUCAUUUCUUAAAUA